rnacentral:rRNA from 1 species
UACGUAGGGUGCGAGCGUUAAUCGGAAUUACUGGGCGUAAAGUGUGCGCAGGCGGCCGCGCAAGUCGAGUGUGAAAGCCCCGGGCUUAACUUGGGAAUUGCGCUCGAAACUACGUGGCUGGAGUGUGGCAGAGGAAGGUGGAAUUCCACGUGUAGCGGUGAAAUGCGUAGAGAGGUGGAGGAACACCAAUGGCGAAGGCAGCCUUCUGGGCCAACACUGACGCUCAUGCACGAAAGCGUGGGGAGCAAACAGG